rnacentral:rRNA from 1 species
AAACCAGCACCUCAAGUGGUCAGGAGGAUUAUUGGGCCUAAAGCAUCCGUAGCCUGCUGCAUAAGUUUUCGGUUAAAUCCAUACGCUCAACGUAUGGGCUGCCGGGAAUACUGUGCAGCUAGGAAGUGGGAGAGGUAGACGGUACUCGGUAGGAAGGGGUAAAAUCCUUUGAUCUAUUGAUGACCACCUGUGGCGAAGGCGGUCUACCAGAACACGUUCGACGGUGAGGGAUGAAAGCUGGGGGAGCAAACCGGAUUAGAAACCCCGGUAGUCC